AUUGCACGCUGGCGGCAGGCCUAACACAUGCAAGUCGAGCGAGCGGCGGAAGGGUGAGUAUUGUCUGGGACACUGCCGGAUGGCGGGGGCUAACUACUGGCAACGGUAGCUAAUACCGCAUACCAUCAGAUGUGCCCAGAUGGGAUUAGCUGGUCGGUGGGGUAUAGGCUCACCUAGGCGACGAUCCCUCGCUGGUCUGAGAGGAGGACGAGCCACACGGGAACUGAGACACGGGCCAGACUCCUACGGGAGGAAGCAGGGAGGAAUAUUGCACAAUGGUCGCAAGCCUGAGACAGCCAUGCCGCGUGUGUGAAGAAGGCCUUCGGGUUGUAAAGCACUUUCAGCGGGGAGGCGUUACCCGCAGAAGAAGCACCGGCUAACUCCGUGCCAGCAGCCGCGGUAAUUC
rnacentral:rRNA from 1 species